rnacentral:rRNA from 1 species
CCUACGGGUGGCAGCAGUGAGGAAUAUUGGUCAAUGGACGCAAGCCUGAACCAGCCAUGCCGCGUGCAGGAUGACGGCCCUAUGAGUUGUAAACUGCUUUUGUACGGGGGUAAACCCCGACACGUGUAUCGGUUUGAAAGUAUUUUACGAAUAAGGAUCGGCUAACUCCGUGCCAGCAGCCGCGGUAAUACGGAGGAUCCGAGCGUUAUCCGGAUUUAUUGGGUUUAAAGGGUGCGUAGGCGGUUUGAUAAGUUAGAGGUGAAAGGUCGCGGCUCAACCGUGAAACUGCCCCUGAUACUGGUGGACUAGAGAACAGUUGCGGUAGGCGGAAUGUAUGGUGUAGCGGUGAAAUGCUUAGAGAUCAUACAGAACACCGAUUGCGAAGGCAGCUUACCAAACUGUCACUGACGUUGAGGCACGAAAGCGUGGGUAGCAAACAGGAUUAGAUACCCCAGUAGUC